rnacentral:rRNA from 1 species
AUUGAACGCUGGCGGCAUGCUUUACACCUGCAAGUCGAACGAGUGGCGCACGGGUGAGUAAUAUAUCGGAACGUACCGAGUAAUGGGGGAUAACCAAUCGAAAGAUUGGCUAAUACAGCAUAGUAUUCGAGCGGCCGAUAACUGAUUAGCUCGUUGGUGGGGUAAAGGCCAACCAAGGCGACGAUCAGUAGCGGGUGUGAGAGGACGAUCCGCCAAACUGGGACUGAGCCACGGCCCAGACUCCUACGGGAGGCAGCAGUGGGAAAUUUUGGAAAAUGGGGGCAACCCUGAUCCAGCCAUGCCGCGUGUAUGAAGAAGGCCUUCGGGUUGUAAAGUACUUUUGUUAGGGAAGCGGUACCUAAAGAAUAAGCACCGGCUAACUACGUGCCAGCAGCCGCGGUAAUA